GACGAACGCUGGCGGCGUGCCUAAUACAUGCAAGUCGAGCGGAUCUUCAUUAGCUUGCUUUUGAAGAUCAGCGGCGGACGGGUGAGUAACACGUGGGCAACCUGCCUGUAAGACUGGGAUAACUUCGGGAAACCGGAGCUAAUACCGGAUAAUCCUUUUCCUCUCAUGAGGAAAAGCUGAAAGUCGGUUUCGGCUGUCACUUACAGAUGGGCCCGCGGCGCAUUAGCUAGUUGGUGAGGUAACGGCUCACCAAGGCGACGAUGCGUAGCCGACCGGAGAGGGUGAUCGGCCACACUGGGACUGAGACACGGCCCAGACUCCUACGGGAGGCAGCAAUAGGGAAUCUUCCGCAAUGGACGAAAGUCUGACGGAGCAACGCCGCGUGAGCGAUGAAGGCCUUCGGGUCGUAAAGCUCUGUUGUCAGGGAAGAACAAGUACCGGAGUAACUGCCGGUACCUUGACGGUACCUGACCAGAAAGCCACGGCUAACUACGUGCCAGCAGCCGCCGUAA
rnacentral:rRNA from 1 species